rnacentral:lncRNA from 1 species
CGUGUUGGUGGUGCUGCUGAGGGUAGUGCGGGUGGUAAACCUGAGGAGCUGGAGCUGGGACAGGGACAGGGCCGUUGCAAUAACCGUUGUAAGCUGGGUAACCGAUAGGUGAGGCUUGGUAUGAGGCGGGGAUAAGCUCAGGAGAGUAUGGAUAAGGUGGGCUCCUGUUGCUGUAGACAGUAGUAGGUGGUGAUGGGUAAGCCGCUGCAGGUGAAGCGUACUGAGGGGAGUGAGACGGUGAUCUGAUGAACGGGAAGGAAGAGACGUACGCGUUUGUGAUACGCCCGGCUUUUGCUGGUGGCAUUGGACCGUUGUAGCUGGCUCUGGUUCUCUUGUUGGCCGGCACAGCUGCUGGUUUUCUCUUCUCGGUUUUGGUCUUCUCUAGCUGUUCCAACCGCUUCUUGAGGUUCUCCGGAGGGAACUCUUCCUCGAGUUUGUACUCUUCUAUGCAUUUCAAGACCGCCUUAAGAGCUGACUGCUCCUUGCGCGCCACAAGAUGCUAACAUAACAAAGAUAAUGAAUUUAAACUUGCGAAUAAAAGAUGUUCAAGGUGAGAUAAACGAGUAGAUUACCGAAGCUCGGCCAGUAUUGCUGGAGUCUUCCGCGACUGUCUUCUUUGCAUCCCUCAGAUAGGCUUUGAGUAGAGGAACGGGAGGGAACUUAUCCACAAGGCCAACUUCAUAAGUAAAAUGAACUGCAUCAAGCUGUUGUCCUCUGCUGAUCAACUCUUCAAUCAUAUCUGUUCAAGCAUAACAACUCAAACCAUUAUUCAUAACCUCAAGAUCAUCAGUAUCUAAUCUGGCUUACAUCUAAACUCACACCUUAUGUCACUAAAGUUUCAGACUUCGCCAAUAAUAUCACAAGAAGAUAGGAGCUUAGGCUUACCAGGCAUUUGAUCACCCAAACCAACUAAAACAGCAAGCUUUGGCAUCUGUUUGCGCCACGCGGAUCCAACGACAAGCUUUCUGUACAGACCAAGAUCUUCACUUUUAACAAUCCCAAACGUCACAAGAUGCUGAAGAAACGUAUGGACAUCAGGAGUCUUGACAUUCUCCACCCUUCCUCUCUCCUCCAAGCUCGCCUUCCACGUCUCCGCAAUCUCCUUAGCUUUCUCCUUAACGCUCGGAGUAACAAGCAGCCUCGUCUUCCCAAUCACUGGAUCCACCAUCACAGGUGCUAAGCUCUCCAGAAUCACCACACAAGCCCAUCCAAAAUCGUUAGUCAUCUUCUCUCCGGAGCCUCUCUUAUCCACGGGAAACACCUCAGAUAUCGCCUCGAGCACCAACAUCGCCGGAUC